rnacentral:rRNA from 1 species
CCUACGGGAGACUGCAGUGAGGAAUAUUGGUCAAUGGGCGGAAGCCUGAACCAGCCAAGUAGCGUGCAGGAUGACGGCCCUCCGGGUUGUAAACUGCUUUUAUACGGGAAUAACGCGCCUUACUUGUAGGGCUUUGCAUGUACCGUAUGAAUCAGGACCGGCUAAUUCCGUUCCAGCAGCCGCGGUAAUACGGAGGGUACGGUCGUUAUCCGGAUUUCUUGGGUUUAAAGGGAGCGUAGGCCGCAUGUCAAGCGUGCUGUGAAAUGUCCGGGCUCAACCCGGGCCUUGCAGCGCGAACUGGCGUGCUUGAGUCCGCGGAAAGCAGGCGGAAUUCGUCGUGUAGCGGUGAAAUGCUUAGAUAUGACGAAGAACCCAGAUUGCGAAGGCAGCUUGCUGCAGCGGAACUGACGCUGAUGCUCGAAAGCGCGGGUAUCGAACAGGAUUAGAUACCCUGGUAGUC